UACGGAGGGGGCUAGCGUUGUUCGGAAUUACUGGGCGUAAAGCGCACGUAGGCGGAUCAGCAAGUUAGGGGUGAAAUCCCGGGGCUCAACCCCGGAACUGCCUUUAAGACUGUUGGUCUGGAGUCCGAGAGAGGUGAGUGGAAUUCCGAGUGUAGAGGUGAAAUUCGUAGAUAUUCGGAGGAACACCAGUGGCGGAAGGCGGCUCACUGGCUCGGUACUGACGCUGAGGUGCGAAAGCGUGGGGAGCAAACAGGG
rnacentral:rRNA from 1 species